AUGCAACCUACCUUUUACAGGGGAAUAGCCCGGAGAAAUUCGGAUUAAUGCUCCAUGGUUUAUAUGAAUGGCAUCGUUUAUAUAAUAAAGAUUUAUCGGUAAAAGAUGGGCAUGCGUAUCAUUAGCUAGUUGGUGUGGUAACGGCAUACCAAGGCUACGAUGAUUAGGGGUCCUGAGAGGGAGAUCCCCCACACUGGUACUGAGACACGGACCAGACUCCUACGGGAGGCAGCAGUGAGGAAUAUUGGUCAAUGGAGGCAACUCUGAACCAGCCAUGCCGCGUGCAGGAUGACGGUCCUAUGGAUUGUAAACUGCUUUUGUACGGGAAGAAAUGUAAUUACGWGUAAUUAUUUGACGGUACCGUAAGAAUAAGGAUCGGCUAACUCCGUGCCAGCAGCCGCGGUAAUACGGAGGAUCCGAGCGUUAUCCGGAAUUAUUGGGUUUAAAGGGUUCGUAGGCGGUUGAGUAAGUCAGUGGUGAAAUCUUAUAGCUUAACUAUAAAAUUGCCGUUGAUACUGCUUGACUUGAAUAGUAUGGAAGUAAUUAGAAUAUGUAGUGUAGCGGUGAAAUGCUUAGAUAUUACAUGGAAUACCAAUUGCGAAGGCAGAUUACUACGUACUUAUUGACGCUGAUGAACGAAAGCGUGGGUAGCGAACAGGAUUAGAUACCCUGGUAGUCCACGCCGUAAACGAUGGAUACUAGCUGUUCGGUUUUCGGACUGAGUGGCUAAGCGAAAGUGAUAAGUAUCCCACCUGGGGAGUACGUUCGCAAGAAUGAAACUCAAAGGAAUUGACGGGGGCCCGCACAAGCGGUGGAGCAUGUGGUUUAAUUCGAUGAUACGCGAGGAACCUUACCAAGGCUUAAAUGUAGAUUGACAGGUUUAGAGAUAGACUUUUCUUCGGACAAUUUACAAGGUGCUGCAUGGUUGUCGUCAGCUCGUGCCGUGAGGUGUCAGGUUAAGUCCUAUAACGAGCGCACCCCUAUGUUAGUUGCCAGCGRGUCAWGYCGGGAACUCUAACAAGACUGCCGGUGCAAACCGUGAGGAAGGUGGGGAUGACGUCAAAUCAUCACGGCCCUUACGUCUUGGGCUACACACGUGCUACAAUGGCCAGUACAGAAAGCAGCUACCAGGCAACUGGAUGCGAAUCUCAAAAACUGGUCUCAGUUCGGAUUGGAGUCUGCAACUCGACUCCAUGAAGCUGGAAUCGCUAGUAAUCGGAUAUCAGCCAUGAUCCGGUGAAUACGUUCCCGGGCCUUGUACACACCGCCCGUCAAGCCAUGGAAGCCGGGGGU
rnacentral:rRNA from 1 species